rnacentral:misc_RNA from 1 species
GAAAUGCGAUAAGUAGUGUGAAUUGCAGAAUUCAGUGAAUCAUCGAAUCUUUGAACGCACAUUGCGCCCUUUGGUAUUCCAAAGGGCAUGCCUGUUCGAGCGUCAUUUGUACCCUCAAGCUUUGCUUGGUGUUGGGCGUCUUGUCUCUAGCUUUGCUGGAGACUCGCCUUAAAGAAUUGGCAGCCGGCCUACUGGUUUCGGAGCGCAGCACAAGUCGCACUCUCUAUCAGCAAAGGUCUAGCAUCCAUUAAGCCUUUUUUUCAACUUUUGACCUCGGAUCAGGUAGGGAUACCCGCUGAACUUAAGC